UCUCAGCGUCUUUGAGAUCACCAAAUCUGC
rnacentral:piRNA from 1 species